CAUGCCCCUUGAGGCGUUGCGGUCCGAUAUUGUGUCGAGGCUGUCAUAAGGUGGCAGAGAAUAAAAGGUCUAUGUUAUCAUGUGCGUUCAUUACCUCCAGCAAGUGGGGAUUUGAAGUGAUGGUAGUUUACCUACAGA